CAGAGUUGCAAGACUCCCUAAACCAUUGUGAACCUACCUUCUACCGUUGCUUCGGCGGGCGGGCCCAGCGCCCCCCCGGCCCCCCGCGGGCGCCCGCCGGAGGAUACCCAAACUCUUGACAUUAGUGGCCCCUCUGAGUAUUCUUUACUGAAUAAGUCA
rnacentral:misc_RNA from 1 species